UAGACCGGUGGAGGAACAAGUUAGUGCUCUGGUAUUGUGCCUGGGCAAUCAUUCACAAGCUCCACCACAGUCUGGACCUUGACUUCCUGAUCACAGGCCACACGAAGUUUGCUCCCAACUGGUUCUUCGGCCUCAUCAAGCAGCACGUCAGAAAGACCAGAGUGAACACUUUUUUCGAGAUUGCUGGUGUUGUGAAGGACAGCUCUGUGACUGGUCAACAUCCCACCACUGGUUGGACUGGAGGAUGGUACGGUGCUGGUGGAAAGCUAUGGCUGGCAACAACACCUGACUCCGUACUUCAGGCCGCUGCCACAGAUCAGUACCAGCACUUCAGGUGAAUAUCAUAUUCAUUGCAUUGUAUGAGGUUAUUCUUCUCAUCUAAACUUGGGAGGUGAAUUGAUGUUAUGCAAGGUUGUAAUUUCUUCUAAAUAUGUUUUCUUACUUCCUGUUUUACAGCUUCGAUGCUCUUGAGCCUGGUGUUGUUGUCGCCAAUGAAUAUUCGGACUCAGUUGGGACCAGGUUUCAGAUGCUGCGCAACGGUGACAUCCUUCCUCCCAUAGAUGAUGCUGCCAGUGGCUUGUGGCUAUUAAGAAUGAUGCACCUUACGGUGAAAAAAAAAAUACCAGAGGGAUUUUAGGCUGAACUGAUGGGGAAUCCAUUUCGACUCCAGCUGAGAGGUUUUCUGUCACAACAAAUGGAAGAUUCUCGAUUAGAGGUGAAUCCACAGAAUCCACCAACAUGCGCUUUCAACCCUUAGCUCUGCACAAGUUGAAGGUUAUUUGGAGUCAUUCCAGUGCCCUGCUGAAAAAGACCCCAAAGCGGCGGCAUUUUGGGUACACAAGCAUGAGGGACCGGACACACCUUGCGGUUAUAGAGCACAACAAGAUUGUGGGACAGAAACCAGCAACGGACACUGAAAGGAGACGUGUAGUACCAGCAAAUAUUCUGCAAGAGGACCAAACAUUUGGUGGUUAAGAAGCUCUACACCACUUUCUGCAAAGUCUUAUCCAGCUGGGCAUUAACCGUAGACAGGACAAGACCAUUCGCCAUAAGCACAAAGAGUCUCAGCUUCACCAGCCCACCAUGCUGAACAUCAUUGCCAAUGUACCAAAGCUGGAUAUAGGACUAUGUCUGCGUUUACACAUGCAGCACAAUUCUGAUAUUUGUUUGUUAACUAAUUGGUAUUUCCACCAAUCAGAUCGGUUCUGAAAAAGAUCUGAUGUGAUUAAGACCAAUUAGUGGCAAAAAUAUCAGAAUUGGGCUGCCUGUGUCUCAAAAUAAGUCCAUGUAGAGCAGGGGUUUCCAACCCUGUUUCUGGAGAGCUACCCUCCUGUAGGUUUUCACUACAACCCCAGUUGUAACUCACCUGGAUCAGCUUAUCAACCAGCUAAUUAUUAGAGUCAGGUGUGCUAGAUUAGGGUUGGAGUGAACCUACAGUACGGUAUCUCUCCAGAAACUGGGUUGAAGAGCUCUGAUGUAGGACCACCAUAAAAUAAAUAUGGAUAUUUUCUAUCAAUCUUUGAAAUGUGUCUGCCUUUAUGGAUUUAAAGAAUAGAUGUAUAUAAACUGUACAGGGCUCUGUAGCAUCAAACAUAUGCUAGACAUUCAGAAAUCUAAAUGUUCAUUUGUGAAAAAUCUCAAAUACAGGGGAGUGUACACUAUUUACUAACUCAAGAAAACUGGUUAUUCAACAAGAAUGUUAUAUGGUAAAAGUAACAUACCCCCAAAAAUGUAUGAACAGUGUAGUACAGUUCAGUGUUUCUCAGGUGUAGAGACACACAAGUCCAGAGAACUGUAGCUACAGAUUGUUACACCAGAUAAUUUGAUUUACCCAAAUACUUUUGCCGAUA